rnacentral:rRNA from 1 species
UGGGGAAUUUUGGACAAUGGGCGCAAGCCUGAUCCAGCAAUGCCGCGUGCAGGAAGAAGGCCUUCGGGUUGUAAACUGCUUUUGUACGGAGCGAAAAGGCUCUCUCUAAUACAGGGGGCUGAUGACGGUACCGUAAGAAUAAGCACCGGCUAACUACGUGCCAGCAGCCGCGGUAAUACGUAGGGUGCGAGCGUUAAUCGGAAUUACUGGGCGUAAAGCGUGCGCAGGCGGUUUUGUAAGACAGGCGUGAAAUCCCCGGGCUCAACCUGGGAAUGGCGCUUGUGACUGCAAAGCUGGAGUGCGGCAGAGGGGGAUGGAAUUCCGCGUGUAGCAGUGAAAUGCGUAGAUAUGCGGAGGAACACCGAUGGCGAAGGCAAUCCCCUGGGCCUGCACUGACGCUCAUGCACGAAAGCGUGGGGAGCAAACAGGAUUAGAUACCCUGGUAGUCCACGCCCUAAACGAUGUCAACUGGUUGUUGGGUCUUUACUGACUCAGUAACGAAGCUAACGCGUGAAGUUGACCGCCUGGGGAGUACGGCCGCAAGGUUG